GCCUGGGUGGCUCAGUUGGUUAAGCAUCUGACUGCGGCUCAGGUUGUGAUCUCACAGUUUGUGAGUUUGAGUUCCACAUCAGGCU
rnacentral:tRNA from 1 species